rnacentral:rRNA from 1 species
GAUGAACGCUGGCGGCGUGCCUAAUACAUGCAAGUCGAGCGAACGGACGAUAAGCUUUCUCCUCUGAUGUUAGCGGCUGACGGGUGGGUAACACGUGGAUAACCUACCUAUAAGACUGGGAGAACUUCGGGAAACCGGAGCUAAUACCGGAUAAUAUUUUGAACCGCAUGGUUCAAAAGUGAAAGACGGUCUUGCUGUCACUAAUAGAUGGAGCCGCGCUGCAUUAGCUAGUUGGUAAGGUAACGGCUUACCAAGGCAACGAUGCAUAGCCGACCUGAGAGGGUGAUCGGCCACACUGGAACUGAGACACGGUCCAGACUCCUACGGGAGGCAGCAGUAGGGAAUCUUCCGCAAUGGGCGAAAGCCUGACGCAGCCACGCCGCGUGAGUGAUGAAGGUCUUCGGAUCGUAAAGCUCUGUUAUUAGGGAAGAACAUAUGUGUAUGUAACUGUGCCCAUCUUGACGGUACCCAAUCAGAAAGCCACGGCUAACUACGUG